rnacentral:rRNA from 1 species
AACGUAGGUUCCGAGCGUUAUCCGGAUUUACUGGGCGUAAAGCGCGUUCAGGCGGUUUGGCAAGUCGGGCAUGAAAUCUCUCGGCUCAACCGGGAGAGGUUGUCCGAUACUUCCAGACUUGAGGGCAGUAGGAGGGUGGUGGAAUUCCGGGUGUAGUGGUGAAAUGCGUAGAUAUCUGGAGGAAUACCGGUGGCGAAGGCGGCAUCCUGGACCGACAUUGACGCUGAACGGCGAAAGCUAGGGGAGCAAACGGG